rnacentral:tRNA from 1 species
UAGUAAGAUAAGCUAAAUCUAAGCUAGUGGGUUCAUACCCCAAAUAUGAAUUAAAUUUCUCUUACUAU